rnacentral:rRNA from 1 species
AGAGUUUGAUCAUGGCUCAGAGCGAACGCUGGCGGCAUGCUUAACACAUGCAAGUCGCACGGGCAGGGCAACCUGUCAGUGGCGGACGGGUGAGUAACGCGUAGGAAUCUAUCUCUGGGUGGGGGACAACCGUGGGAAACUACGGCUAAUACCGCAUGACACCUGAGGGUCAAAGCAGCAAUGCGCCUGGAGAGGAGCCU